rnacentral:lncRNA from 1 species
AUCCUGUCCCCAGGCCCCCGGCUCUGCGCCCUCUGCGGUAGGGAGGGAGUGGCGCGGCCAGCUCCGCGCUAGUGCAGCGACGUCCCGCGUGUGCCUUCUGGGUGAGAUUUUCCAGGGACCCAACGGGCCCGACCCGAUCAGCGCUGAGCUCCAGAAACCUUGCGGCGGGCAGGACCUGGCUGCUGGCUCGAUGGUCGAUAUCCAGCUUUCUACGACUUUGUGCACGCUAAUUCUUAACCACGUCUGUUUCUCGUCUAUAAAAUGGACAUGAUACACAUGUACUGCCGGGUCUGACUCAUUUCUGUACACUGUCACUCACUGGAUGGUAUUCCUCUUAAUCGACUUCUGUUCUGUGGCUGGACAAGUUGUUUGGUUUAAAUGAAGUUAUAAACAGUCAUUCUGGAUGAGCC